rnacentral:rRNA from 1 species
UACAGAGGUCUCAAGCGUUGUUCGGAUUCAUUGGGCGUAAAGGGUGCGUAGGUGGCGCUGUAAGUCGGGUGUGAAAUUUCGGAGCUUAACUCCGAAACUGCAUUCGAUACUGCGGUGCUUUGAGGACUGGAGAGGAGACUGGAAUUCAUGGUGUAGCAGUGAAAUGCGUAGAGAUCAUGAGGAAGACCAGUGGCGAAGGCGGGUCCCUGGACAACACCUGACACUGAGGCACGAAAGCUAGGGGAGCAAACAGG